GUUGCUUGCAAGGGCGUAUGGUGGAUGCCUUGGCAGACAGUACCGAUGAAGGACGUUUGAGGCUGCGAUAUGCCUCGGGGAGCCGCCAGCAGGGCUUUGAUCCGAGGAUUUCCGAAUGGGGGAACCCGCCGGCCGUCAUGGGCCGGCACCGCGUUCGCGCGGGGGGUACGCAGGGAAGUGAAACAUCUCAGUACCUGCAGGAAAGGAUGUUCCGUGAGUAGUGGCGAGCGAAAGCGGAUCAGGCCAAACCGCGCGCGUGUGACAGGC
rnacentral:rRNA from 1 species